rnacentral:rRNA from 1 species
GACAGAGGGUGCAAACGUUGUUCGGAAUUACUGGGCGUAAAGCGCGUGUAGGCGGCUGCGUGUGUCGGGCGUGAAAUCCCAUGGCUCAACCAUGGAAGUGCACCCGAAACUGCGUAGCUAGAGUCCUGGAGAGGAAGGUGGAAUGCUUGGUGUAGAGGUGAAAUUCGUAGAUAUCAGGAAGAACACCUAUGGCGAAGGCAGCUCUCUGGGACGGUACUGGACGCUGAAGACGCGAAAAGCGUGGGGAGCGAACAGG